GGAGGGUGCAAGCGUCGUUCGGAAUUAUUGGGCGUAAAGAGCGUGUAGGCGGUUUGGCAAGUCAGAUGUGAAAUCCCUUAGCUCAACUAAGGAAGUGCAUUUGAAACUGCUUCACUAGAGUACAGUAGGGGAAAGUGGAAUUCCCAGUGUAGAGGUGAAAUUCAUAGAUAUUGGGAGGAACACCGGUGGCGAAGGCGGCUUUCUGGCCUGAUACUGACGCUGAGACGCGAAAGCGUGGGGAGCAAACAGGAUUAGAUACCCUGGUAGUCCACGCCGUAAACGAUGGGCACUAGGUGUAGGGAGUGUUGACCCUCUCUGUGCCGAAGCUAACGCAUUAAGUGCCCCGCCUGGGGAGUACGGUCGCAAGGCU
rnacentral:rRNA from 1 species